CAAUCCAGUUCUCCUUGGCAUUUGGGAUUCUUUCUUGCUGAAUUGUUUAGCAAAAUAUUAGUAAUUUUACAAAUCAUUUGGGUUUCCUGGGCUUAAAGCAGUGAUGAGUUUGCUUCUCAACUUUCAGCAUCAAGCCACUGGUUCCCAGCCAGAUUUGAGAGAACAGUGAUAGCAUGUUGUAAUAUGCUUGAUAUUAUGACAGGGUGUCUCAUAAGACAUAGCACGGGUAUUUUUUAAAAUGAAAAUUGAACAUUUUAUUUUGAGAAUUUCACAAGAGCUGCUGGUAAUUGUGAUAGCCUUGGAUAUUAUGAAACUUCAGCAAUCGAUUUAAGCCAAAUGUUUACAUGCCAAAUAGAGGUAGCUCUUGGUCAGUUAGGACUGAUGAUCCAGUAUGUGAUCAGAGCCAUCCUCCCUGCUCCUCACUCUAGACUUGUACCAGCUCCCAAGGGGCUGCGGGGCACAGGAAGAAGAGGGAAAGAGAGACCUUCUUUCAUAGGAGCUGGCCUCCACUAGAUUUUCUGGGCAGGGAGAGGCUGUGCUGUCCCAUCCUCAUAGGCUAACUCAGUGCCCUUCCUGGCUGGCCACAGCUGAUGCCUGUGAGGAGGCAGACUCACACAGGCUGGAGUGGAGCUCUCAUUUGUCUUGUAUCUCACUGGCACUGUGUCAGCCAACUGCAUCAACUCAUCAGUGUGCUGGAAGGCAAAAAAGCUGUGCAACAGAUAUGGCAAUGGUUCUCAGCUUUGGCGAUGUCUGGAGACAUUUCUGGUUGCCACAUCUCAUGGGUAGACGCCAGGGAUGCUCUGGUCAUGCUGCUGUGCACAGGACCACCCCUACAGCAAGGAUGGACUUCGUUCAUUCAACGCUUGGUCCCUGACCUCUGCUCCCUGCCAGGCUCUGAGGUAAUCAUGUUUCAGGCCACCAUUGGACAUGAACUUCGAUGGACAGACAAGCCAUCCUCUGCCCACAACUGCCCCACCUGAAGUCUACACUAGUGACCUCUUACGUUUUUUUGAUCAUGUGCCCCUAGCAAUAAAAAAAAAUUGUU